CUCACUCCUUGCGACUCUUGUUCUCCCUCCACCUCUCUGAUCAAUGUCAACCCUAACCCAUCUCCAAUCACAACAUUUCAGCACCGUCCAAACCCCAUCAUUUUCACCUCGUUGUCAUGGUAGGAACUCGCUACACCCGUUGCCGCUGCACUCAUUUCCAUUGUCGAUCUGGUGGUGGAUCCGGGAUGGAUUUGCUGAUUUCAGGAGAAUCAGGGGAUAUGGUUUUUGCAUAACCCCUCCAUCAUCCCGAGCGUCAGGUUCUUAUAGGUUGAUCAUGAUUCAUGGCCAUCCAUCCAUUGGUAACCAUCGUGCAUCAAGAAGUCUAUUGCAUCAAGAUAAAUAUGCUCUCUGCCAUGAAGUAUGUAUGGCAGAUCUAAUUGUUUGAUCCGUGAAGUGAAAGAUGAGGGUAGGUAAAGGAGAAAAUAAGACUAAUUUUCAGCUUGAAAAUGGUUUUGUACAAAUGGAAAAAAUAAAUAAAUAAUCUAAUGAUCUUACUGGUAAAUCAGAAUUCAUAGAAAAACCAGCUUCCAUCUAUACAAUCAAACCCAAAAGGCAGAA